AGAGUUUGAUCCUGGCUCAGGAUAAACGCUGGCGGCGUGCCUAAUACAUGCAAGUCGAUCGAUAGAAGUCCAGCUUGCUGGACGGAAAUAGAGGCGAACGGGUGAGUAAUACGUAAGCAACCUGCCCACGAAGACCGGGAUAAUCCCUGGAAACGGGGACUAAGACCGGAUAGGUACACAGACCGCAUGAUCAGUGUAUUAAAGGAGAGAGACACUGGUGGAUGGGCUUACGGUGCAUUAGCUGGAUGGUGAGGUAACGGCCCACCAUGGCGAUGAUGCAUAGCCGGGCUGAGAGGCUGAACGGCCACAUUGGGACUGAGACACGGCCCAGACUCCUACGGGAGGCAGCAGUAGGGAAUUUUCGGCAAUGGGGGCAACCCUGACCGAGCAACGCCGCGUGAGUGAUGAAGGUCUUCGGAUUGUAAAGCUCUGUUGUAAGGGAAGAACGGCAUCUAGAGAAUAGGUGAGUGACGGUACCUUACCAGAAAGCUACGGCUAACUACGUGCCAGCAGCCGCGGUAAUACGUAGGUGGCGAGCGUUAUCCGGAAUUAUUGGGCGUAAAGGGUGCGUAGGCGGCCUGUUAAGUUUAUGGUGAAAGCGUGGGGCUCAACCCCAUAAAGCCAUAGAUACUGGCAGGCUAGAGUACUGGAGAGGGUAGUGGAAUUCCAUGUGUAGCGGUAAAAUGCGUAGAUAUAUGGAGGAACACCGGUGGCGAAGGCGGCUACCUAGACAGAGACUGACGCUGAGGCACGAAAGCGUGGGGAGCAAAUAGGAUUAGAUACCCUAGUAGUCCACGCCGUAAACGAUGAAUGCUAGGUGUCGGGGCGACCCGGUGCCGAAACUAACGCGAUAAGCAUUCCGCCUGUGGAGUAUGCACGCAAGUGUGAAACAUAAAGGAAUUGACGGGGGCCCGCACAAGCGGUGGAGUAUGU
rnacentral:rRNA from 1 species